UGGGGAAUUUUGGACAAUGGGCGAAAGCCUGAUCCGGCAAUGCCGCGUGUGUGAAGAAGGCCUUCGGGUUGUAAAGCACUUUUGUCCGGAAAGAAAUCCUUGGCUCUAAUACAGUCGGGGGAUGACGGUACCGGAAGAAUAAGCACCGGCUAACUACGUGCCAGCAGCCGCGGUAAUACGUAGGGUGCAAGCGUUAAUCGGAAUUACUGGGCGUAAAGCGUGCGCAGGCGGUUUGCUAAGACCGAUGUGAAAUCCCCGGGCUCAACCUGGGAACUGCAUUGGUGACUGGCAGGCUAGAGUAUGGCAGAGGGGGGUAGAAUUCCACGUGUAGCAGUGAAAUGCGUAGAGAUGUGGAGGAAUACCGAUGGCGAAGGCAGCCCCCUGGGCCAAUACUGACGCUCAUGCACGAAAGCGUGGGGAGCAAAACAGGAUUAGAUACCCUGGUAGUCCACGCCCUAAACGAUGUCAACUAGUUGUUGGGGAUUCAUUUCCUUAGUAACGUAGCUAACGCGUGAAGUUGACCGCCUGGGGAGUACGGUCGCAAGAUUAAAACUCAAAGGAAUUGACGGGGUCAUAGCUGUUUCCU
rnacentral:rRNA from 1 species